rnacentral:rRNA from 1 species
GAUGAACGCUGGCGGUAUGCUUAGCACAUGCAAGUCGAACGGACUCUUCGGAGUUAGUGGCGGACGGGUGAGUAACGCGUGAGAAUCUGGCUUUGGGUUCGGGACAACCACUGGAAACGGUGGCUAAUACCGGAUGUGCCGAGAGGUAAAAGAGAAAUUGCCUGAAGAUGAGCUCGCGUCUGAUUAGCUAGUUGGUGAGGUAAAGGCUCACCAAGGCAGCGAUCAGUAGCUGGUCUGAGAGGAUGACCAGCCACACUGGGACUGAGACACGGCCCAGACUCCUACGGGAGGCAGCAGUGAGGAAUAUUCCGCAAUGGGCGAAAGCCUGACGGAGCAAUACCGCGUGAGGGAAGAAGGCUCUUGGGUUGUAAACCUCUUUUCUUAGGGAAGAACAAAAUGACGGUACCAAAGGAAUCAGCAUCGGCGAACUCCGU